rnacentral:lncRNA from 1 species
AUUUGUGAAACAACAAUCAUUUGAGAAACAACAAUUCAUUAAUUCAGGAAACUUUACAUUAUUAAAGUCAAUACAAUAAGCAAUCGAAAUUUCAAUACAAUUAUAGACCUGUGCAAUGAAAGAAAUCACAUGGUAAAAUACAGACGAGGGAAACAAUCGUAUUUUUAAAAAUACAGACACUGCAGCUUACGAAAUCGACGAAGUAAUGCAGAAGGGACAACAAUUAUUCGAUAAGCGGAAGGUAGAACUACUUUCGAAAUCAAUCAGCCACACCUGCGGCCUGGGUUGCACCAGACGCAAUAGACACAAUAGACGGUGCAAUACCCACAGGGCCGGGGCGUGCAAUUCGUUGUUGGCUGUGGUGGGACUACGGUCGUCCGGUGUUGGACGCAGGCGGGAUGGACUUGGAAGUCGCAGCCAGCGCAACCAUAGUGUGCACCGCACACGNNNNN